rnacentral:tRNA from 1 species
UUAUAAAUUAGUGUGUUAGCACGAAAGAUUUUGAUUCUUUUAGAUUUAAUUUUUAUUGAAAUUUAUA